rnacentral:misc_RNA from 1 species
AAAGAUGUGAAAUCCCAGAGCUUAACUUUGGAACUGCAUUUUUAACUACCGAGCUAGAGUGUGUCAGAGUGGGAGGUGGAAUUCCGCGUGUAGCAGUGAAAUGCGUAGAUAUGCGGAGGAACACCGAUGGCGAAGGCAGCCUCCCUGAUAACACUGACGCUCAUGCACGAAAGCGUGGGGAGCAAACAGGAUUAGAUAAUUGGUAUAGUCCACGCCCCAAACGAUGUCAACUAGCUGUUGGGGCCUUCGGGCCUUGGUAGCGCAGCUAACGCGUGAAGUUGACCGCCUGGGGAGUGUCGGUCGCAAGAUUAAACUCAAAGGAAUUGACGGGGAUCCUGCACAAGCGGUGGAUGAUGUGGAUUAAUUGAUGCAACGCGAAAAACCUUACCUACCCUUGAUAUGUCUGGAAUCCCGAAGAGACUGGGAGUGCCUGCAAGAGAACCGGAACACAGGUGCUGCAUGGCUGUCGUCAGCUCGUGUCGUGAGAUGUUGGGUUAAGUCCCUGCAACGAGCGCAACCUCGUCAUUAGUUGCUACGAAAGGGCACUCUAAUGAGACUGCCGGUGACAAACCGGAGGAAGGUGGGGAUGACGUCAAGUCCCUCGGGCGGCUCCUUAUGGGUAGGGCUUCACACGUCAUACAAUGGUCGGGACAGAGGGUCGCCAACCCGCGAGGGGGAGCCAAUCCCAGAAACCCGAUCGUAGUCCGAUCGCAGUCUGCAACUCGACUGCGUGAAGUCGGAAUCGCUAGUAAUCGCGGAUCAGCAUGUCGCGGUGAAUACGUUCCCGGGUCUUGUACACACCGCCCGUCACACCAUGGGAGUGGGUUUUACCAGAAGUAGUUAGCCUAACCGUAAGGGGGGCUAUCAUCACGGUAGGAUUCAUGACUGGGGUGAAGUCGUAACAAGGUAG